UAGAGGCUCAACUGACCUUGCACAAACUUAGCCAACCUAAGCAAUCUUCUUCCAGAUGGGUGCUUCAUUAUUUAAGUGAUACUGCACAGUUAAGCUCCUUCAGAAAUGGACAUGCCAAACCAACGUCUGGUCCUCAGAUCCUUAUCUCCUGACAAAGGAUUCUGAACCUCAAAUAGAACUGCAGAUGGAAAUGGACUAUGAGGGUCCAUUUCUCUCUACUCCAUCAGAAGUGCUUGCUGCUUCCCUUCUGUGUCAUGGAGUCACAGUUGUAUGUGUAGAGUUGCCUUUAAACACAGAUGCCGGAUGCUUCGGAAGUGAUGGAUUGAGGUGCACACAUAAUGACCUGUUCCAGUCAGAAACUGAGAGCCUCAGAAGGAGUUGCCAACCAGAUCUAUAGAAUGAGACGUCAGAGGAAGAAAAGCCUCCUUACAAUCAGAGUGUAUGCCAUGCAUAAAACCUAAUGUACAACUGCAAGGGGUCGCUGUAUUCUGGAUUACCUACCUGUCAGCUGUAGACAGUGCCUUUCACUCCAGAGCUGCAAUGAGGGGAGAGAUAGAAGGGUGCCUUUCUCUGCUCCCAAGUACUCUUCUACUCUGCAGUGCCAUGAUGAAAUAUUAAUUACAUUUAUCAGAACAGGAUUAAACGUGGAAUGAAUGAUUAAUUAUUUGGCGCUGGGAUAGAUUAAAGUUCUGUCCAGGGUUUAUGUAUUCAUUAAUUACUUGUUAAAUCAAAACCAGACUACUGUCUUUGGAGAAGCUGGAAAAAAAUCAGCUGUGUUGUUGCAGUGGUUUGUACGAUCAGUUUGUUAUUUGGUGGUACAUUCUGUAACUAAGUAAUGGUCACAAUAAUAGAUUAUUCUACCUAAGCAUGAUAAAGAAAUCUUUACAUGUGUAGUGCAUGGUUUAUUUCCUUGCAGGUUUUACCCUUUUAUUAUCUGUCUUGUCUGAUGCUUUGAAAUGCUUGUUGUCAUAGGAUUUAGCAUAACACAUCCUUGAUAAGUUUUUUGCUAUCACAACAGAAGGGAAUGACUGGAAUAGAUUUACUUCUGCCCUUCAGCAGCAAGGAAACUCACUACCAAGAGAGCAGAUGAGCAUAAGCCUUCCCUGCCAGAUGGUUACCUGCCCAGUGCCUCCACCAGCAUGUUCAAACCACACCAGCUUCAUCUGCGUUCUUUACCUGGGUAUGAUGGUAGGUAGGCCAUAUUUAUGAUCAUUCCUGAAAGAGCAUUUCUGAGCUGAAGAGAUUUUUGAAGAACUCUGUGAAGACUCCACUUUGUAUUAAUAGUACUGUACAUGCAGAGAUUGUGCUUUGUGGUAUUUUCACUGAUUUUUUUAUUAGGAAGAUGCCAGGACUUACUAAUUACUGUCCUUUCUUGAAUCUGUUGGCACUUUAUAUAUACAGUGUCACAGACUGAAGGCUAUCAAGUCAGAUAAGUUCUGUCCUGUUCUGCCUGCCUUAAUGCCUUUGUUGUUGUUGUUAUUAUUAUUAUUAUUAUUAUUAUUAUUAUUAUUAUUAUUUUACUGCUGGUCAUGUUAUUCUUCAUCACUGCUUAUCAUCUUAUAUAACAGCUGUAUUGCUCUGGCUGGCAGAAUAGAGGGCCUCAUGUUCCUAUGUGCCAUUUAUCUCUGCUGAUAUUUUGUGAGUGAUGAAAGCCACCAUAAAUGUGUAUUUGUUUUCUUUGUAUGAUGAAUCCCUGCUUCUCCACAAAAGUCUUGUGCUCAUGGUGUUCACUAUUUAACAAAGUGAGUCAGGAUACAGUUAACAGCUGUGUGACUGACUGCUUGCUAGAGUAGAUAAGUAAAUACUGAUCCUUCAAUUUUCUACUUUCUCUGCCCUGAUAUUCUUAUACUGCAAUCUCCUGGCGCUUCUAGGAACAUUAUUGAUGAGGGAACACUUCAAUUCCUUUCAAAAGCAGUGCAUAUAAUUGAGAGUACAGAAUCAAGAGCUGUGGGUUUUUAGAGUUUAUAAAAAGUGUAGGGAUUGAUUAAAAACAGAUUCUGUUCAGGUCUAUGUGGAUGUUGCAAAAUAAAGAGAAAAAUCACAGAGUUGCUGAGAAUCCCAGGUACUUCUAGAAAUGAAAAAUAGAGAAGAAGGUCAAAAUGGAUGAACGUAGUUGAAAAGAUUAACCUCCCUCAGACACCCCAGCCCACCCACCAGAGAACACAGCCGUUUUGGGCUUUGCAAGGACCACAUGCAGCAACUGCAGUGAGCCUGUUCUCCUUUCAGGCAAGCCCUGAAAUUCCAGGGCUUGAUGAACAGUAUUAUGAAUGUAGCUCUACUGAGAGACAGUAAAGAACACGUCUCACUGAAGAUGUGGAAUAGCACACUGAAUCAACAAAUAGGCUUCUGACUAACUGGAAGCAGUGGGGCAGAUUCUCAUUUGUUGCUCACUUAAAUAAAUCCAUGAGUAUCAAGAAUGAAGUUGUGUUUCCCAGUGGUACUGCUUCAUGAAAGGGUAUUCUAUAUCCCAAGCGUUGGGGACAUUUUGGGGGAAUGUACCUUUUUCGCAAAGCAUUUUCCAAGUUCUGGUGGCUCCAGGAUUUGUGAGAGCUCAUAUUUAUGAGUCAGUUCUCACUGCUGGCCAUCAUAAAUUAAAAAAAUAUCACAACAUCAGUUUUUGUUUCCUGGACCAACUGUGUUGUAUUGGUCUAAGUAAUAACAUUCUUUAUUCUUAAGCUAAGAGCAUUUUGUUUAUGUAUUCUCUCCGCAAGGGAAAAUAUACUUCUGCUAUCGCUGCAAAGCACAAGGGACAGUUAAAUCUAAUAAGUUAAUCUAGACUCCUAGAAACAAAAUUAAAUUUUCAAAUAAAGGCAAACUGACAGCUAAGGCAUAAAUCUUUUAUUUAAAGUAGAAAAUAAGCCCAUUCAAAUGCAAUCAGAGAAGACAGAUGUAGGUAAAAACAAGUAGAGAUAGGAUAUAUGGUGCAUAAAUUUGCUGUGUCUGUAUGAUAGAUCAAACAGAGUGACCUUAAAAAUGUUCCUAAAACAUCAGCUAAAAUAUGAAAUUUGCAUAUAUUUAAAUACUGCUUGUUAAUGGAAGAUGGACUAGAAAGGAUGUUAACACUGAAAGUAAAAUACAGCACAGGUGUAAAGUGUGCAACAGAAAGGUCACAUUAGCCAUCAAAGUGCCUGAAAUGUAAAUAUUUACUAGCUUGGAGCUGGCAGCAGGUUCUAUAAAUAAGAAAUAUUACUUUCCACUGUUUAAUAUAUCUUCUCUGGUAAAAUAUUUAUCUGAAAAAAAAUCUUGAUUCAGCAACAUUUAUAAUUAACUAAAUGUUUAACAUCAUACAUCCUCUUAGAUCCAAAUUACCUUAAUGGGACUACUCAGAGGUAAGAGAGGCACACCUCUCUGAAAGAUGUUAUCAAGAUCACAGAUAAGGUUACUAUGAAAUUUUGCCUGCCUUUGGAUUGGUGAAAGGAGGUGUUUAUACUCAGAUUUCUCAAGUAUUUUUCUUUCCUUCUGGGUGUAAAUCCACAGUAGAUUGUUGGGUUUUCUUAGGUGUGGUAUCAGAUUGCUCCUUGGAAGGUGGCAUCUAUAGCCUAUUCAGGAGAGAGAACAUAACUUGCUGCCUGAGGUUUCUUGAUUCCUGCUCUUUCAUUCUCUCCUGGAUACCUAUUCCUCUGUCACCCCAUCAUCACAGCAGGACAUAAGCCAUGCUGCUUCCCAGUAUAGGAUGUGUUUUGAUCCAGUCCUCACAGGUGUUUGCUGAAAGAAUCUGUCUGUUUUGAUCAUAUUCUCAGAAUGGGAAUAUCUCCAACUAUGUAGGCAACAGCACGGGUGCCUCUCAUUCAGCUCUGGUCUCCUUAUAGAGUUUGAGACUGUCUGGUCCAUCUGGUCGUCCCUAGAAGUACAUCAUAAUUAUCUCCUGGUUCUUAGUAAAUCUGGGUUUUCUAGAGAUUUCCACUGUAAUUGGAUCAGUCAUUAAUGUAGCCCAGAUUUCUCAUAGUAUUCUGCUGAGAUUACAUCUGUUCCAAUACCGUGACCCAGUUAGAGCCCAAUAUCUUUGUGAAUAUGAAAAAGAAAAUUGGCUAGUAGAAUGUUGCAUGUAUUUUGACAUAUCAAUGCAGUUGAAGAAAUGCAGUUAAUUCUGAUAGUAUCAUCUAGCCUCAGAGAAUAGUGUGUGGAUGUGCAAAUGACUCUAGCUCUCUAAAUGUGGACGUAGUUACCAAUAGGUGUAGGGGGAUGUAUCCUUUCAAUUUGCCUGUUUGAUGUUUUGUUCUGUUGUUUUGUUAGCUUGUUAAUGCUCUUUUCUGUGGGCUUUGUGAAAAAUUUACUUGUAAAGUGAUAGAAUUCUGAAAGAUCUUUUUUGUAUUCACUUCUAUGAAGAGUGUAAGUUCUUUCGGUCAUUGAUUAGUGACAAAUGCCAUCUAUGGAGAAAUUCUCUUAAUCUUUGGGAUGUCUCUUUUGAAGGUCACUUCCAUUUAUUAAAAGAUUGCAACUGUACACUUGAAUAUUUCAUGAAUUGUCGGUAUUGUUUCUGGCUUUUGCAAUACUUCUCUAUAGGAAAAAAAAAAAAAACCACAAAGGUCAGAUAACAGAUUUUUAAAAAGUUAUCCAGAAAGCUACAUACUGACCUAAUAAUAUGUUGACAUAGGUCAAAUUGGAUUGUUUCUGUCACAUCUGUAUUGCAUAACACCAGAUAAAUUGAGGCGUGAGUUGAUGUAUAUGGUGCAAUAUAGGAAUACGGCUUUCACACUGACAGUCAGCUACUUGUGGUUGGUAGAGUUGUGUGUGUAGACCUCUGAGAACAUCUACAAACACAUAAGGUGAAAAUACAAAAAUAAACAAUAGCAAAUAGCCAGAGGGGCUUGCAAUGAAUUUGUCUAGAGAAGAUUAAGCACUUGAUUCCCUUGAAUGUGUGGCGUGCUACAGGUCUGGAGUCACUUUUCUUUGCUCUCAAUUGCUGAGGAGUGUCAUGGUCUGAAGAAGGUGGAAUUUGGUGCAUAAUAAAAAACAUAAAUCUCUCACUGUUCCUUGCUGAGAGCUCCUCCUGCACAAGGCAGGGGUCUGUCAUUCAAUAGCAAAGUUCCUAGACUCAGUCUUCACUGAUGGUCUGUGUUUAGCUGUGUUAGGUUUGCAGUCUCACCCUGCGGGGAAUAGAAUGUUGAAGAGAAGGUCCUUCACACUGAGGGAUUACUAAAUCCAGGUCAUCUACAAAAGAUUUGGUCUGCAAUAGAGACUUUUCUAUAUUUUGUUAUAAUAAAACAUGCCUUGGCAGGAGACGUUUUAGAAAUACUAUUUUUAAGAACACAACAUUAGAGUAAAAUACUAAAUUUGCCCUGUACUCCCACCACUCUGGAAGUUGAACUCUGCUGCCAGGAGUCUAUAAACUUCAUUCACAUGCUUUUUUCUUUAAACACUGACUUGGAACAUACGGCUGCUUUUUAGGCUGGUUGGAGUUAUACAAUCAUUAGAACUUGCUUAUUUGGGGCAAUGAGGCUCCUUUGUUUGCAGAAGGCCUGAUCAAAAAAAGAUGAGCUGUUCCAGCAUGGUCUUUCUAUAGAUUAGCCACAGUAGAGUACAUGUAUAGGAGCAGCCAAAAUACAUGUAGACAAUUAGCUUUUCUACCAGAGACUAGUUUUGUUAACAUUCCCUUGAUUUGACAGCUGGAAUAGAUGAAUGUCAUUGCUGACCUUUUCAAUUUUACAGCUUCUUCACUUUCAUAAUUCUAACUCCUGCAGCUGCAGCAUGGAAAUGAACUUUAAUAAUGUUCCCCAAACUCUUGAAAAUGCAUUAGUUACAGUUAAAUUUUGUAAUACUCUAAACAAUAAGGAUCUUUUAUAUCACUGCUUCUUAAACUACGAAGUAAUUAUUAGCAAUUAAAAGAGCUGGACAUUUCCCGACUGCUUUCAUGGAGCAGAUCUGAACAAUCAGACAUUAGGUAUCCACUUUUCAUUAUGAUUUAUGAUGACUGAAAAAAUUAUUCUGCCCCGAGUUUUAAUUAUUGCUGGAAGAUAUUCUCUGGGUUCUUCUAUUAAUGUCUUUCAUUUACUUUUAGAGGGUCAAAUGCUGUUCACUUUAUUGAUAUGAAUAAUUCCACUGGAGCUAAUAAAAGUAAACAGAGAGCAGAAAAUAGUUAUACAGUCUAAAUUCAAGAGGUGCAAUUGUUUGACAUGGUGUGACAAUGUAAUGUUGUUUGAAAUGGGACUCUGCUGUUUUUAACUUAGUUAAUUAUACACUAACAUAAACAUAGAUUGUGCCCAAAUUCAAGGUAAAGAAAGGAAAAGGUUAGAGGGAAUAAUACAGCCACUGUAGAGAAUGUGAGGCUAAAUAACUUGUAUUUAAAAGUAUUAUCACAGGUCUUUUAGUCAGAUAUGUAAUGUGAUGACUAGUCCAGUUUUAACUAUCCAGAUUUAAAGCUAAAGGAUUUAAAAAUUGGGAAGCAAGGUGCAAUUGUGUAACAUAUUGAGGCCAACCUUAGAAACUGCUGGAAUCCAAAUUGUUGGUGAUGUUACUUGAUGGGCUCUAGGGUAAACUUGAGCCUAUUAGUGACUGUGUCUGCAGGACUUGUGGAGAAGCUCCCCAGUAAAAACCUCCUGCCAGACAGCCUGAUCCAAGGGGAAUCCUGGUAAAGUUCACAGUGUAUUAACCACUUUUUAAUAUAUUCUUAUAGUCCUUUUGAAAGGCUUAUUUCAAAGCUCUCGUGUAGCUAAUGGUUUGAGCCUCUUCUGAGAGUUCAAAUAUCCUAAUGAGAUUAACUCAUUAAAUAACUGCCCAUCACUUAGUUGCUGAUACUCUGGUUCAUUUGUUGCACUGGGAAGAGAGUGUAGCCCGUGCAAAUGUAGACUAUUUCUCUUUGAAUGUUUUUAAAUUAUUACAUUUUCCAUCCCAGUAUCCUUUUCUAUCAUGUAAGUAGAUUGGACUGUGCAGUAACGGUCUUUCUCCCUCCAGGCUGCUUGGGCAAAGGUGACAGGUUUUGCCACCAUGAUGUUAUCUCCUUAUUUAGGAUUGAGACUUAAGCCUCCCUGUGACUAAUUAAGUAGUUGUCUCUCAGGGAUGUACUUGUCAGUGCUCACACAACCAGAAUGGCACAGACUUCUUCCACAGAACCAGAGAAGGUAAAAAAUAAAAUAACAUCACCUUGAAUUUUACAAAUUAACCAAAAACAAUAAGGGAAGGGAAAACAGUAAGGGACGUGAAUAAUAAUAAAAAGCAAAAACCACGGCAGGUAACACAGGCUACUGCUAAACUUGCAUACUAGUUGUACGCAGUUGUUAUUGCUCACUUUAAGAUAGGUAGGGUGAAUCUUGUUCUUGCUACCUUGUUUGUAUACCAGUGGUCAGGGGAAGCCCAGGAGUCAGUGGUUCUUUGGAGAAGAGCCAGAAGGGAACUUGUUUUUGGAAAGGCUUGUGUGGGUAGCAGAUGAGCUUGGCACAGAACUGGUCAGCAGAACAGCCGGGGAAGAAUCUGGGCAGCGUGACCUGGCUUGGCUGCUGCACUAUGCUGGUUGCUCCAGUUUUAAGAAAUAAAUGCUGUGUCCCUGGACAAAGCCCACAGAUAAUGCCAAGGCCAGGAGAUUCCUCUGAAGAACUUGCUGGCAGCUUGAGAUUUUACCUUUAAUAGACCUGGAGAUUCCAAGCACGCUCGCUUACAGAAGUGCUACAAAGAAACAAAUGGCGGUAGCUGUGUAUAAUCAGCAAGUUCGUUCAUAGAUCUUAAGAUAUAAAACAUUAUCAGAUGUUAUGCUUUAAAGAAAUGUGAUGCAAUUUGUCUUAUGGUCUGUGCUUCUCAAGUGUUUGUCUACACUAAAUCUUUAUGGUUGUUUUUUUCAAAGAGCUCUGAUUUCUAGGAACUUGAAGGAUGCUCUUUAAAACUUGUCAGUGGCAUGAGUCUGUCCUGCUUUCCACGUUCUUCUGGUGAGCAAAGCUGGUCGAAAAUUAUGCAUUUGAAGAUACAAUGUGAAAGUCUUGACUACUGGUGGAGUGAAAAUAUAAUCAAAAUCUGCAAUUCAUUUUUUCCUGUUUCCAACCCAUUCUAUGGUUGGUUGAAAUAUUUAAAAUAAUGAAUUUUUGACAGCUAAAUUAGGAUAGAAAGUAAAGAAAAAGGGAAAUGUUGUCUUUUUGCAUGCAUUGGCUGUGUUUACCGGCCAUCUCUAGAGGGAGACCAAAUUGUUCUUAACUGGCUGCACUAGGACUCAGUAUAUGCUCAUCUCUAUGACUAAAACCAUCCAAACUACUGAACCUACUGAUGGAGACCCUUCUUAGGUUUGGGGCUUUGGUGUUUUUGUUGUUGAUUUGUGUUGCUUUUUUGUUUGUUUGUUUGUUCUUUUUUUGUUAGUUGUGUUUUUUAUUAUUUUUGAAUCAAAUAAGUCUUUUGAAAAAACAAAACAAAACAAUGCAUUAUUAACAUAGCUUUACUAUUUGCUCAGUCAAACUUUUAGACAUAUUGUUUGAUAUAGAUUACAGGACAGCCUUGACUGAGACCCUUAGUAUCCUAUACUGGAGCACACAUUACAUGCAAUUUUACUAUUUUUUUGUAUUGUAGGGUAAAUUGUUGUGCUGUAGAACUGUCCUCCACAUACUUGGAAUGUAAUAACUCCAAUGAAAAAGUGGAAAUGCCUCAAAUUCCUAACCGUUCUACUUGUUUAGGCCCAUUCAGAUGAAAUGGCAGUCAACAUCUGUCCAGAUGCAGUAGCAUUUGUAAGUGAAACAAAAUAGAGAGCAGCAAUACUUCACUGCUAAUUUUUACUGGCUGCAGUCUUCCUUCAAAGGCAGCAGAAGGAAAUGGAAAAGGAGGGAAAGUGCCGAAGUCACAUCUGUACCUAACUGUGACUAACAUUAUCUUUUAUGUUAGAUCAUUAGCAUACCCAGGAAAAAAACACUGGUGUUUGGUGCCAGCUGUCUGCUUAUUACAGCAAAGGAACUGGGAGAAGACACUGGGAAUGAAAUAAGCACUUAAAGGGAUACCGUACUUUUGCAUUAUUAAGGUCUUUAGGUAUUACCAGCAUUGCUUUGGGCAGGAGGCAUCUUGGUGUGGAGCUGGGAAGCAUGGGGUAAUGUCUUAGUACCACUCAGUUGUAACUUGCAGAACCUGCUGCCAAAGGGAGCCAAAGGCAGAUGCAACACUUUGUCAGAGUGUUCCAUGCCAGCAGUGGUUAUAAAGUGGUAUGGGCUGGUGAGGAAUGGAGAGAGGCCAUCAGUGGCUCACCUAUGGAUUGAUGAUUGCAGAAGAGACAUUUUGGCCGUCUGGGUCAGUGGACAGAGAGCCUGAUGUGCACAAAUACCUUGCUAAUUUAAGCAAAGGCAAAAAAAAAAAAAUUGAAGAGGGUAAAAGUGGUAGUAAGACUCGGGAUGUGCCCUGGCAGCGGGCAUCCCAGUAUAGCAUUUGGUUUGUUCAGUGAAGAAACUCGUUAAGCCCAAAGUUUGAUCAAUAUUUAAUGCAAGAGAUUGUGUUUUGAUGCUGGUUUAAAACAAAAUAGUGAAUGUGUACUCUUAUCUCUGUGCUUUUCACAGAUAUGAAUGAUGGCAGAUUUUAAUAUUACAUUCAAAGUUACAGAGGUAAAGAAUGUGUGCAGUAUAGGAUGCAGCCCAUGAUGUGGGAUGUGCUUGAGAAGUGCAUAAUAAUAAGAUCUUAUGUUAACAGCCUAAACCAUUGACUAUAUCUGCUUUGGUAUGAAGAACAGCACCACUGACUGAACUUACAUUCACAUUGUAGCUGAAGUCAGGAACAGAUUCACCACAUGACUGUUUUUAGCCGAGCAGCUUCUGAAUUAUGUGUCUUUAAUUGCUUCAGAUUCCUGUUAUUGAUCUCUCAUGUCAAAAUAAUUGAACUUUAUGGCCAAAUUCUGAUGCUUAUUGAGAAAUCAUAUAAUUACUUCCAACCAUCUGUGAGUCAAUAAAAGUUGAGUACAUACCACUACUCAGAUUGCUUGAUGCAAACAUUUCUCUCCAAGUAACCACAAGAUCUACAAUACAUUAAUAAAUCUAGCAAAGCACAGUUGUAGGUUGCAUAAUUGUAUCUCCUAAUACUUGUAAUAAUAUAAAUAUGUUAUGCAUUAGUAGAUAAAAUACCCCUACUUCAACCCCAACCCUGCAACACAGGGAGAGUGCUGUGCCUGCAGAGAGCCACCAGCACAGGUGCAGCACUGUGCUGACAUGCACAGCAGGAAUCAAAAUCUUUGUGGCCAAGCAAACACUACAAAGUACUGGGAACCAGCGUGUUUUAUCACACUGAGGCUGAUGGGGACAUGUCCUAGAAGUUCACACCUGUCUAGAAAAUCCUAUUCCACGUAUCUCUUUUUUUUUUUAGCUUUGCCUUUACUGGUUUGUUUACACCAAUGAACUGUCUGGAGCCUGUAUCCUUGCUCUUCUUCAAAGAGAGUGUUAGAGUAGACGUGCACAUGCAGUGUCUUCUUCAAAAACCUCAUACUUCUACCAUUUCACAAAACCCCAACAUUUUUGUUGCCUACAGGAUGGUGAAAAUUAAACAGUUCUAAUGCUUUUGAACAAGCUCCUUAAGAAGUGCCCUGAUAACCUGAAGCUUUUUUCUAGAAUGGUUUCGUGAAGAAUUUUCACACCUCAUUGCUGAUGGUAAUAGACUACAUAGUGUCACACACACACACAGCUGGCAAGAUACUUACUUGAGUGAUAAAAAAUGUUUUAUGUGAAGGUAAUGAAAGCUUUGUCUUGCCUACUUGAAUAGCUUUAGCUGCCAAUUUCUAGACCAAAUCCUAUCUGAGAAAGGACAUUAGCUUUACUGCAUCUUGUUUCCUAUGUAAUCAUUAUGCUGCUAGCACUGGUUUUAUUCACUCCUGUAUUUCUUUUAAUAUUGUUUUAGUAAUUCUCCUUCCUUAUGAGGAAGGGAGCAUUAAUCAGCCAAGGCAUUUAGCACCUAUUUACAUUAAUAUAUAGACAAUGCAGUGAUUUAGAAUUCUUUACACCUUUCUGCAGCUUUUUCACUAGAUUUCUUAAUGCCUUGAGGAUGCCUUUCCUCAUGACACUUUACAACAAACCUUUGCAAAAUGAAUAGCUUUCAUUAUGAAAUCAAUGAUAUUCCUUCUAAACUUCAGGGGCAAUGUCAAAGAAAAGCUACUCUAAUUGCUAAUGCUGAGAAGUUUUUAUGACCAAACUCUACUUUCCAGAUGUCAGAGCAAUGCAGUCAUCACCUUCUUCAGCACUUUUGCCCUCCCUUGUCACCGUGGUUCUCUUUCUCAAUAAUGUGAUUGUCAGCUAUGGCUUUUUCUAUUCUUACUUCUUUACUCUGCUUUCUGUUCUGAUUCAACCUUAAAGCUACCCUUUUCAGCAGAAACAGUCUGAAGUCUACAGUUGUGACUCUGCAUAGCAGGAACCUCUGACCACUGGCCUCUUCUGAAGCAUAAUUAUACAGGCAAAUUCUAAUUCUGAAGCAUAGGAAGUAGUUAAGAACUUGCACGUUUAUUUUAAUUCCAGAUGUAUAUUUUGACAUUUAUUUUUAGGAAGCUCAACUGUACAGACACAAAAUAGUGGCUGUGAUCAGCCCAGUAUUGGCUGGUCUGGGUUAGUGGGCAGAGUGCCUGUUAUUGCAUAUAAACAUGUUGCUAAUAUGGGGAAAAAAACAAAGAGGGUAAAGAUGGUAGUACUGCCUCUGCUACUGAUACAGCCCUUGUAGCCCUUGUUCUUACACAGCUUAAGAAAGCUACAAUACUGUAACAUGGAAAUUCUGCUUUGCAUGUCUGUAGGAAACGUAGACUCAUAGGUUUGAUCAAAGGCUUAUAAACUAAUAGGUUAGAAGUACUUGGCAUCUGUUCAUCAAAUGCAGGUAGUGUUUGGUCCAACAAAUGCAAGUCUCUCUUGGAGAGACAAGAGUUUUGUCUACUUCCAUUUUUGAAGUUAAUACUUACAUUUACCUCUGAAUUAUAAGAAAAUGCAACUGAAAUCCUAAAAAUUUGUCAGCGCUUUGAUAUUCUAUUGAUUGAAACCAGUUUAACUUGUUUCAUCCCUUUUUAGUACAGAAAUAGACAUCUGAGUCAUUAAUUUGUUUGCCCUCUUUGAGGCUGUUGAAAUGUAAAAGAGAUGAGUUAGCAGCCCUUGGCAGUGGGGGCAUUGAUGGAGAUGCUGACAGACUUUAUUUAUAGUGUGGCUGCACUACCAGGCAUUACUAUAGUACAAUUCAAUCAGGGAAGUUACUUUGAUUUCUUCAAGUAAUAGCUGUAGUUAAACAGCUUUCUAAAGCUCCUUGUAUCACCACAGUGCUUAGAUGAUUGAAUUUUUAUCAUAACAAAAGUAUCAUAGCAGUGGUUAUCCUUAAGCUCUGUUUCACCUCAGAGGCAUAGAAUUGUCUUAUCUCAUUCCCCGUCUUAACUACUUUCAAUGUACUGACAAGCACAACUGACCAAUUAAUAGAACAUUUUCUAGUCUUAUCUCAUUCGUUAUCCAUGAUGGUCUUCCAUGUUGUAAUUACUUUUCAAUUUUUCAUGACCCAAAACAGUAGAUGUACACAGUGAAUACAAAUAGCAAAUUGAUUAAAUGUAACAUGCAUUGUAGCACCGAAGAGAUUGUCAUUUGUUAUUAACGAGAGAGAUUUGUCAGGUUCUUCUGAAAAGGCUUGUGACACACAGCAAUCCAGACCGAAUAACUGCAAGACUGCAGCUGACCUUCAGCUCAUUAAUUGUAUGCAAGUAAAAUCGGGAAGACACACGAUUUUCAAGACAAUUUCAAAUUUCUCCAUUUCCCUUUUUUGGUGCCAUCUCAACAUUUUAAAGAUUAAUUUCAAAAAACACAAGUCAGGUUAUCAGGUAAUUUUGUGCUAAAUGCGGGGGGGUGGUGGGGGGGGGCAUUGUAAGGCACUGAAUUUCAAGGCCAAAGCCAUUUUGUUGGUGGUAAAACACUGAUUCUUACACAGAUGAAACUGAGGCCUUUGCCUGAGCCAUUGUGGCCAGCAGCUCAGUAGUCAGAGAGCUCGUGCAAGAAGUGCAAAAAAGUGGUGUUCAGGUGUUUCUGCCUGAUUUUAUCAACACACAAAAUAUAUGCUUUUCCUUUCUCAUCCUUACUGUGCCAGCUAGCUGUCAGUUAACAGACUGCUCCAAAGCCUUGCUGAAUUGCUCCUGAUCAAGUUGGUUCAUUUUACAUAAGUUAAGUAUCCAUUGACUAUGCACUGGGGAAAGUAUUUUGGUGUAGCAGGGAGAGUUUAUCAUUUUGAGAAAUCUCUUUCUUGCCAACACUUGACAAGAAGUUUAUUUGAAAUCCAAAAGCUUUUUGUGAAAUGAGAAGUUUUCUUCACUGUACCGAGAACGUCAUUGAAUUUGUUAAUGAACAGCAAAGGAAGGUUCAAAAAUGAAAAUGGCAAUGCAGGAAAUUAUUUCCCAUUCUUGAACCAAGGGAGGUCUUGUUCCUUUGGUUCCAUCAAAUCCGUAGCACUCCCUUUGGAUACAGAUAGUCUUUGUUACAGUUGAAUAGCUCCAACAGCAUCAAAUAAGCUUUGCAUCUGCUAAAGCCUGCCUCCUGGUCAGCUUGUUCUAGCCAUGGGCCAUACUCAAUUUUGAAUUACAAAAAUAGGUUUUCUUUCAAAUUAUAUGUUACAGUGUGAACAUGUAUUAUUUACCUAAGUUUAACAAAUUAACUGGAGAUCAAACUGUGCAAACCUUGCUAUUCAAUUUCUCAGAAUUCUGCUUUCAUAAAGGAAUAUAGGGAUUUUAUGGGCAUCUUCUAAAACAAAAUUUUUGAUCAUAAAGCAUCUGAAGCAUUAAAUAAAACGUUAUGAACUUGUUAUACAUCUCAAGGUGAGGAGAAUCUUUGAAAUGUAUCCUGAAAUUAGAGACUAUAUUUGCAUAAUUUAUACACUGAGUAUUCAUAAAAAUGACUACAAUUGAAAAUCACCUGUCAUCAAAAGUAAAAGCACAGAAACAAUGGCCAAGACUGAGGCAGGGCAAUAGCGUUAUGGAUGUUAUUUCCUAAAUAUUUUCUAAGGAACGGUUUCUACCAGUUACUGAGGAAAUUAAGGAAAAGUGACAAAGCAACAAUCAUUUCCAAGUAAUAGUUCUUUUUUCUUUUCAUUAUGUGUGCUGUCUGCCCUCAGAUCUCCUGCAUUGUUCAGAUUUCAAAACAUUUCCUGUUGUAAUAGACAAGCAAGAGACAUUCCACAUGGUAAGGAGGAGAGCUCUGCUCCUGCAGCAGUCUUACCUGGGGCAGCUCUGGAGUCUGCUGCUAGAUGCUGGCUCUGAAUAGCCAGGGGAGUCUUCAUUACUUAGGCAUAAUUUUUCUAGGCUCAGAACUUGGCUUGGGUAAACCUGUGAAAACUGGGCUGUAAUUUAAUUGUAACGAGCUGCUUAUUCUAUUUGUUUUCUUUUCUUGCCUCCUGACUUCCUUAGCAGGACAGGAUUACUACCACUUGCCUUUGGAGCCACUUCUGGCUCAUCUGGUUCUUCCUCUCUGCCCUGUUCCUGCCAAAGGUUGUUUCAGGAGCACCUGUUUCAUCUUCUGCAAGGAUCUCAUAAUUGAGCAUGGGUCCUGAGUAGGAUUUACACACUUCCUCUGGAAACACAGGAAGCUUGUGUCAGUUCUGACUCUUUCACAGACACAUGUCAGCUUGUCAGGGACUAUUGUUUAUUAAUAAUUUAACAGAGGAAACCUGACAGGAUUGGUCUCUUGGUGAUACAACAAUAUGAAUAUUUAAUAAUGACAUGAUGAUACAUUUCUAUUAACACAGCUGGCAUUCUGCACUUAAGAAUGAUGGGAUAAUAGUUCUCUUUAUGACUACACAGUGAUUAAUCUAUUUAUGUAAUAGGUGAAUGUUCAAAGCUACAGUAAACAGUACAGAAAAGGCAGUGUAUUAUGACCAAAGUGGCAGAAAUCCCCAGUGAUUUUCCCAUAAAGUACUGGUAUUUGUGGACUGUGAAAGGUCUAUUUUCUCUGAGUUAGAUCUUUGCCUGUGCCAUUUGCGUGUACCCUCUCCUACUGCUUAUUCAUACUUUACUAGCCUGAAGAGAAACGAAAUAGAAGCUCUUUCUUUGCCAUGCAGUUAAUUAGCUGCUGGGGCAUUCUCUUCAAUGAUUCAAGUGCACUCUGUCCAAGAGGUUAGUCUGACCCUGCUCAUCAUCACAUAGCAUCAGUGUUGAUGGUUGCUGCUUUUUACCUAUUGAAAACUCAUCUUUCAGUACUUGGGUGCCAGUAUGGACUGACAUGACUCUAUCCUGUACAGGAUUUCACUUCUCCAGUGAGUACAUCUCUUUUAAAUCAUAGAAUCAUAGAAUCCUUUGAGUUGGAAGGGACCCUUAAAGGUCAUCUAAUCCAACUCCAAAUCUGAAUGGCAAUUCUACUGAGUUUUAAACUGCUCAUUUAUAGUUUUAUGACAAAGAAACAGCAAAGGAGUCAUGCAAGAGUUUAAGCUAAGGAUGGACAAAAAGAUUCAGAAAGCAUAGGGACACUCCAUCAUAACUCCUAAAUAACUCCUAAACUUUUUGUGGAAUGCAAACAUCUCCCUAGGCUGCGUAGAGAAAGGGAAAGAGGAGUCUGAUUGCCAGCAGCUCAGUCUUCCUCCUUCUCUUACUUGCUCUGGCAGGUGACAGGAGGAAGGCUCAGCAGCACAGUUCAUAAGUACCUGCCCCAUUGCAUCUCUUCCAAAGUCCUUAAAAUAUCACCUGGGGAAAGUCCAUUAACCUGAUUCCACAUUAGAAAAGAGAGGAAGAUUAUAAGUUGUUCCACUGGCUGCUGUGGGAGACUUUAUGGAACAGGAUAUAGAUUGCUAAAAUUAAGGAAUCUUAAACUCCCCAAAAUUACUGGGAGGAAGAGAAAAAACAAACUUUGUCGUUCUCUUUCUCUCUUUUCCAUUUAUUAGCAUUUUCUUACGUAUAAAGUUGUGCAGUUGACAUGAACAGGAAACAAUAUAUUUUUACCUUUAAAAUACCUAUUUGAUUUGCCUAUAAAACUCAUUAUUUUCUUGUCUUCCUAAAUGGUAUUGAACACAGGUUUUUGAAACUGGACCUGAUUCAGGUCAUAGUUGAAAAUUUGUUUAAAGUCUUUUUUCUCUCAAUUCUGUGUUUGAAUUUAUGUAAAUGACAAAACCAAGUCAUCAGUUUGUAACUUUAUGAUCAAAAGUACUGCUUUUUCUCUGCUUAUUUUUCUUACUUUUCUGUUCAGAUCUUUGUUCAGUAACUCAUGCCAGUUCUCAGUAUAUUGGAGCAGAAGUACUCCAAUUAAAUAAGGCACUUUUCUACAACCGUGCCUCAAAAAUCUGUGCUGGUGAGUUCAAGUGGGGGUAAACUGGGCAUUGUACAGCAAGGACAGGCAUGCUCUCAGCUGUGCACAGAGACAUGGAACUUGUUCAGUGCGGAAAAGCAGGUAGUUUAGCAUAUACAUAGGUUGAUACACUUAAUACAAGGCCUGCUAUAUACUGCCUCUGAGCUGCUUUGAAAUCUGGGGCUCACAGGCUUAUGCUAGCAAUGCAUCUAAUAUAUGUGCAAACAUAAAAGUAGUCUUUCCCUCCCUUUCUUCUCAACUUAGAGGAAUAUUCUAAUUAGUUAUUGCAGGCAGGAGAAGAAAGGGAAGAAAUUUGGAACAAGGGAAAUAUGUGACUGUUGACUUUGCAGUAGCCCUGUCAAAAAAAUGUAUUCUACUUUUAAUACAUACCAUUUGGAAGCAAAGCCCCUUUUAAAAUGCUUCAGAACUCAUGUCCUUUUUAAUUGCCUGGAAUUCAUGAUGGCUGUGUGAGAAAGCCAUAAACAUAUACAAUCAUAAAAACACAUUUAGACAACCCAAACAGAAUCAGUGCCAUAUUAUUUUAGUUUAUUAUUCCUAGUGGAGUACAGAUUGGUCUUCCUACUUUGAUAUUUAUUUAUACCAAAGAACUACAAGAACAUAAAUGCCACUCUUGGGAUAAUCCUAAUGCUGGGGCUGAACAGAACACACAUUGCAUCUGUCUCAUUUGCAGUAAAGUGAAGGCGUGUUUAGGUGUAGUCCUGAUAAUGAAGGACAAAGUUGAAGGUCAAAUGUAGUCUUCAAAAUGAAUGUGUCAUCAUGAAACUGAGAGAACUGCAUUAAGAAGUUUUCUUAAAAUAUCAAAUAAUGAAGAAAGGGAAAGGAAGAUGUAUCUCUUUGGUUUUAUUAUUCCUUUUUCUUUGAAGCCACUUAAGGAUUCUGCUCAAGACUUUAGUGCUCAUAUGAAAAAUUAAUGAUGGGUUUUUGCUAGACAGAAAGCCUUCUUAUUUUGCACAUGAUUAACAAAGAAAACUCAAUGCACAAGUGAGAUACGCAGCAGGGGGUGGUUCUCUCGAAGGCCAGCUCACAGCUUCACACCAGAACAUUUAUUGACAUGGGAAAAUACCCACUUUUAUCCAAAGACAGUUAAACAGAUAGGAUAUGUGCAGGGCUGUACAUAAGAAUAACAAGGAACAGAUACUCAACAAAGGAAAAUGUCAACCAAAAUAAACAAACAGCCUAGCAGCAGGCUGACCCUGCACCAUGCCUGUGGGCUGUUUGGAGUCUACUGCAGAGCCAAGUGCAAUGUUAGUGUUUGCUAGUUAUUGUCAGGAAGUAGGUUAUCAGCUGAAAGGCUGGAGGGUGGCUUCAGACACUCUUCCCAUAGCAGAAGAAAAGCCAAGGCCAUGUAGGCAGAAUGUAUAAGCCAGAUCUCCACCCUAUUCACGUGCUCCUUUGGUUUGAUGUUCCUCACCUACAAAGAUGUCCUUUGAGAGGAGCUAGGGUACUUUUCUCACAGGUCUUUUCCCAUAUGUAAUAUCACAGCAUAAGGCCGUGUGAGCUUGUCCAACUCUAAGCAGCCUGGUUCCUGUGUAUUCCUUUCAAAUUUUAAACCUUCUUGUUUUUGUCUAGUCAGCUAACUUGGAGUAUCUUCUGGGGAUUCAGAAGGGCCAUCAGCUACCAGCACUCACAGGAAGAAAACCAGCCAAACAAGAUAUAAUUUUUACAAGUUUUAAUGGAAGUGCAGUGAGCUUUAUUCCUUUUAUUCAUUAGUUGUGUAUAUUUAUGAUCUGUUCCCUAGUAAAGGAGGACUUUAUAAAUAUUUGUUAAAUACAUUGAUGCACUACAAAGAGUUGAUUGGGGUUACAAAACUCAGGUCAGACUUAGAGUUUCAGAUGUCAAACAGGAAUAAAACAGAUCACCCUGGGUGAACUGGUCCAGAAAGCUUUUUUUUUCCUUUUCUUGUUAUGCAGACCAAUGGAAAAUGAUCCCCUAAAAUACUGCCAUCAUGACCUACAAGCUAUGUUUAUCUGCAGGCUCAAAAAGAAAUUGUUAGCUUUGAAAGUACUAUGUAUAAUUAUAUAUGAAAGGUGCCAAAUUAGUGUCAAAUGAACAAAAGUGACGUUCCAGAAAGCUGAUUUCAUUAAAGCUUCAUUCCUUGUAGCAAUAAGGAAAGUUUCCCAUGCUAUUUGUAGUGCCUCUUGCUUCUGAGGAAAGGAGAUGUGGUGAAUGUUAAAGCUGCUAAGAACUUCAGAAGGAGGCAAGGUAGUGUUUAUUUUGAAUAAUAAGUUGUUAUCUCAGAAUGAUAGAGAAUGAGUUAUAUUAGAUUUAAAAAGGCAUUAAGCUUCAAAUAGAGCACCUGAUAGCAGCACUUAUGAGCUUUUCCAAAAGGCUGCAUGUUUUGUCUAAUUUAGUUAUAAUUUGUUUGUGUGAGCAGUGGAAUUAUCAACAGUGGUGGCACUGAAGUGCAGUGAGUGGUGUACAGCUACAGACCCAGAGUGGCUGAAUGACUGAAGUGACCAACUGCCAUUUUCACAACAGUUAUGUGGCUUUCUUUCUUGUGGAUUUUUAGAUCAGAUCCCUGCAGGAACAGAAUGAGUGGAGUUUUUAUUUUGUUAUUAUGAAUGUUUUGAUAUUGCAGUAAUGAUUUUUUGAUAUGUGAUAAUAAAACCUUGAGAUUAUAGUAGUGGAAGCCUUGGAGUAGCUUUCAUAAUCUAUCGAUUUUGUGUUUCAUAGUGGUGAUUUUUUUUUCUUUGUCACCAUCAGUUGUUUGGUUUCUUUAUUUUUGUGGAUAUUCUCUCAGUGUUUUUGUCUAGCAGCAAGUGCUGCUACUUACAAAGGAUAUACAGAUGUUUACAUUACCCUAUCAAUUGCUACUAAACAAAUGCAGAGCAGCACAGCCCGAGUUUCAUACUACAUCAUCAUAUUGAGUGGGAGCUUUGCUUCAGAAAAAAGAAAGAAAAAAAAAGGCUCAGACCCUAUCUGAGAGCAGGUGGGGUGUUUUUGAUUGGUGAGAUUAUAUUACAGUCUGUAACUCAAGAUUUAGGCAAACAGUAUGUUUAAAGAAUUAAUAUAAUUCGUACUGCUCAAUUGUAAAAUCUCAACAACAGAAAUUGUGUUGCUGAACAUCCUGAAGAUGACAUAAUUGUAACUACAGCUGCAAAGUGCAGAACCAGAGGCUUGCCUACAAGAGCUGUGCCCUGUGCUCCUUGGAGCCUCUUGCUGAUGGAUGCCACCAGGCAUCCCUAAUGCACCCUCACCAGCUAAGAUGCAGUUGCUGCACUGGCUUGUCCAAACAGCCUUGUGCUGAUGAGCAGCAAUAGUGGAGUGUUGGUUUGUCCUUUGGCUGCUGCUGAAUGCUCAGUAACAGUGGGGAUUUGUGUCUCCUUCCUCUCUGUCACUGAAGGGAGCAAUGCAAAUAACUUGUGAGAGAAAAGCAAUAUUAUGUUUAUUGUUGCAAGAUACCUGUUUAACAGAAUAGUAAUCAUAAAUAUGACACUGACAAGAUGGCAGGGUUCACACGAAACCAACUGUAUCUGGGGGUUAAGUUAGUUGCACACCUAAGGAUUUCCCCCUAUUAGAUUGCAGUACUCAUUGCAGUUAUGUUGGCUGUCAGCAGAUGAUUCUGAAACUUCAAGGAAUCUUCCCUGAGAAGGCUCAGGGGGAGCUCCCAAGCCACAGCCUGCUGUGGUCCCAGAGAGCUCCAAGAGGUCUUGCUUAGAGUCACUAUUUAUAGGAUCAUGAGAUGAUUGACUUUUAGAGAGUAGUUUUUCAUUAUUUUGGUCCUUUUUGAUUUUUGGCUAUGACAUAGCCAAAUGUCUUAGCACGUAAUUGCGCCUUCAUCAAUUAGCCACGUCACCAGAGCUCUGGAUAUGGUUGGGCGAGGUCUGAUCAUCCCAUGCCCGUAGCCUAUAGCUAGCUGGGGGAUGAUGCAGGAUCAGGCUCCAUCAUACUCUGUAGGUAACAGGAAUGAUGCUGUGAUAGCUUGUAGACUUGCUAUAUAGAGAAAAAAGUAAUAGUCUUUUGUGAGAGCUGCUCCACCACACUCAACUCAUGAAUUCUUGCAGGUAUGCAUUUAUUUUUUGAGACAUGCAAUGCUUUUGUAUUUUGGCUGAAAUUUUCUCACACGAUAAAAUGUUUCUUUGAGGCAGUAUGAGAGAAAAACAAGGACAGACAGACAGACAGCAGUGACGUGACCCUCAUUUCCUUAGGAAACCAAGCUAAAAAAAAAACCUAACCCCAGACUCUUUGCUGAGGGCUCCUGCUGUCAUAUACUGUACUGGUUAAACCAACCAGGAGAGGAGGCUGGCAUCAGGAUCCCUCCCCCAGAUCAGGCCUAGAACAGAGAGCAGAGAUUUCGAUUUCUGUUAUGUGCAGCAGCAGGGAGGUACAGGUGUGGAGCGAGCACGGAAGACGAAAGCCAUGCUUCCUCCCAGGGCCAUGCUCACCUACAUGCUGUAGUCCCUGAGAGGCAAUUUGUAAACAUUUAGGUGGGUGUUCAGUAUCUGCAUGACGUGACUCUAAAGCUGUAUUGAAGCUCUCCAGUCAAUUCACCAGUGACCUUGAGAGAUCCUACUGUGUGUGCUGGUGAUCGUGUAGUUGAUGUAUUUCCAUACGAGGCACUAAACCCUUCCGUAUUGGAAAAGUCAUUUGGUCUGUUAGAACUUGCAUGAAAAAAUACAAAUAUUUCAUAAGGACAACCUGGCAGAUUAUUCUCAGGCUAUUGAUUCCACAUUUUGUUCUGCUGAAAACCUGCUGCUAAACAGACCUCCCUACUGGAGAGACUGAGCAAAAUGGCCAUUAGAUGGAGAGGCUCUAGGGAUUUAUUGAUUAGACAUGAGAACACUAAUCAUGCAAUAGCAAAGAUCGAGCAUGCUGUUGUGAAGACUAUUUGCAUAAAAAGCUAACAUUUGAGUAUUGGGAAGCUAGAUGCUGUCAGAACAUUAACAUUAGCUGUCCCAGAUCUGGUCAUAUCCCUUGCUACAUCCAGCAGGGCAGCCAGUUCCUCAGGCUUCUCAUUUUUCAGCAUCUAAACAAACAAUAAGUUAGCAAAUAUAUUUGCUGUGCUAGGUAGAUAUUGAAAAUGAAAAUCCUAUCUCCAGCAAACCUACAGGAUAUUGUUUUGCCUCUCAAGUAUACUUGAAAAUAGCAUCAAUUUUGGAUUUUUGAAAUGGCUAACGAUUUCGUAUGACUCUCAUAAUCCAGAACUCAGUUUAAUUAAUUUCAAUCGGUUCUUGUAAUCAAAUUCUUGUAAACUUUCCUUCCUCCUGACAAAAUGCUGAUGUCAUCUUCAAGUAUUCCAAACGCAAAAAUGAGGAGGCCCUUAGAAUGAAGUGCAAAACUUUUCUAUGGUUUAUUCUUUCCCACUUCAGCCCUCUGAUUUUUUUUGAUGCAGUUCAUCAAGGAUACAGACUAAAAAUGAGGAUAGAAUCUUUCUACACUGUUUAUAGAUAAAUGCCAAAUUUUACACACAUUUAUAUGUGCCAUUUAUAACUCCAAGCUUUAUGACUUAAAAAAACAAACCAUGAAAUUUUAACACUCAUCAUCAAACCAGGCAACACUUGUAAGCUGUGUUUGCCACAAAACUUACCUGUAUGAGAUACUCUGAAGUUUCCACAUAGAUGAUUUCUGUCUUCUGUCAAUGUCAGCUAGUAGGGUUAGUCAUGAAAAACACCCACAAGUGUAUUCAUUGAGGACUUCACUUGAAGAACAGUGUAGAUAACCAGAAAAUAAAAUGUGCUACCAGAAAGGGUGUAGGUCAUCGGGGGGCCCUAACCACGGGCUCUGAGCAGAGCUCUGAAGAGUGUGCAGGUGUUUGUCAGACAGGGAAAAGUCAGUCAGAGAAACAAAUGGAGGAAGGUUGUGUAUUUCAUAUCAUGUGGUCGGCCUUUGAGAGAGGUGCAACCUUUGUGUGCAAUUGUUAAGCACCACUGGUGAAAAUGCAUAGCUAAUGGUGGUGACUAUGUUGAAAAAUGGUCUUUUGUAGCUGAGUCCUACCAAAAAGGGCUAUUGUGCUCUCUGUGUCUGUUGUAAUUUCCAUGGAAAUAAACGGGAGGCAUUACUUUCGAAGCAACCUCCUCAGAUGCCCUUGUGUAGCCACCUUGCAACCUUAACCUAAAUAUCCACUACCUUUUCUAGAAGCAUCUAGAAGUAGAUGCUGAGACAAAGAACUUAGUAUUGUUUGUGCUAGAGGCUGGAGUCAAGGAAAAAUCUGGUCUGUAUUUCUGUACACAUUUGGAUGCAAAUGACACCGGCCCAGAAUUGCUGGAGCUUCCUGUGCUGCUAUGCUCUGAGGCAUGUUGGAAACAACCAGUUCUGAAUGAAUGUAUGAAGACACUGCAGUGCCCAUGAUGUAGCUCCUCAAGUGCAAUAUGGCUUUGUUUAUAAAGGUAGAAAUCAAGAUAACCCAGACUGAGCUCUUUAUUAGAUUAGACUCCACAUGACUGUGGUACUUUGUACCUGGAGACUACAAGUCUCAAUUCCUUGCAGAUGGAAUUCAGCAAGGUAUCUUAAGGGCUGGUACCUCCACAAGGUACUUUACCAGGUAGGGUUCUGAAACUCAUCACUCCUUAAACGCCUGCUUGGCCUGCUGAGGGACUGGAGGAUUCAUUCCACAUCUGAUAAGAGGAAUCAAAUUGUCUGUUCAGUGGGAUAAUCUUUCUGUUGUCAGGAUGAAAAAUCUCAGAGGACUCAUGCUCAAUGGUCUUGUAAUUAAAUGUUACACACUUGAUGAGCAUUGCAUUGCAAGCCUCAAGGCUAAUUUACAUGUUACCACCAAAAUGUCUUAUUUCAGUUUGCUUGUAAAAAUACUGUACAGGCAUCGUUGCAUGUCAUUGCAAAUGGUUUGUUUCAGUGAUGCUUGGGUAAGCCUCAACAUUACUAAAAGCUGUACAUAAUUACUGCUAAAGAGCUCUGUACAGAACCAAUAAUACUUCCCCCACAAUAGCUGUUUUAUUACUGAGAUGGCUUUCCUGAUGUGACCGACAAUGCUAGGAUCAGAAACAAGCAGCCUGCCAGCUAAUAAAGAAUAGCAUUUUGGGGAAACAAAGUAGUUUGAAUCAAUUAUGGUAUUAUGUACAUAAUUAGAGUCUGUGUCACUUUUCCAACAGUUGCCCAUAAUUCACAACAGUAAGGCAGGGUAGGAGGAAGGGGAGAAUAAUGACAGUAGAUAGAAGAAAGUUGUAUGAGUAGCCAUGGGUCUGAUGAUGUUAUAACGUAUUUACUAGCACAUUUACAUGCUUUAUGUUGUAGAAGUUACUCUUAGCGAUUUGGGGCCACGACUCAUGUCAGUGUAUUCGUGAUGGAUGAGUGAUGAGAGAAAAAGCUUCUCGAGCCUCCAGGAUCCAUUUAGCACACGUAGCUUUCUCAGUUCCUUGUUUUGAGAAGGUCAUCCCACAAGUAACAUUUCAACAGAGGCAUAUCAGAUGGACCGAACUGAGGUUUCUUGCCAUUCACAGUUUCUUUAAUACUUAUUUGACUGACUUCAAAGCGAUACUAAAGCACUGCAACCAUUUAUUGGAAUAUAUUAAUAAUAAUAAAUCAGAAUUUCAUUCACUGAAUUCAAGCUUUUAAGAAAAAAAUAACCUUGUGUAGAAGCAGAAAAAAGGCAGAGAGAUAUUAGAUGACUUACCCAGUUUGCAGCAAUGCGAGUGGGAGAAUAAGAGACAGACACUCUGGCCCCUGUCCUUUCUUCCAAAUCAUGUUUCUUGUGUUUGUGCCACAGUGAAAUGAUUUUGCAUAUGUCCUGUCUUGGAAAUAUGAAAAAUAUAUGCAAUAUGCAAAGCAGCCGAUGGGUCUGCAUUUCAGAAUCUAUCAUCAUUUAGGAAGUCUUGAAGCCUAAAGAGAUUGCAUGCAACUAAUUGCACACAGUCCAAGAGACUAGAGCACAUUACUGCCAAUUUGUAAACAAAACCCAGCAUGCAAAAGUGCUUAGGCCAGUGGGGUGAGUUUCCAUCGAUAAAGGACAGGCAGUGUACAAAUGCAACGCAACACAAUUCUUACACUUCAGCCUUUAAGAAUUGUGCUGACCCUCCAACAAAAUGGAGUAAUGCAGAGUCACUGAAUGCAGCUAGGCUUCGCCACUGGUAAAUAUUUUACAUAAUCCAAACGAAGAAAUCCAUGAAAACGCUGAAAGAAUAAUUAAAAGUCAUCCAGUGCAAAAAGUCCUUUAAGAUUUAAAUCCUGGCAAACACAUAAAAAUGGAUUAUGUUGGUAAACUGUGAAUCAUUCCAAACGUGGGACUGCAAAGCAAAACUCCCAUUAUUUCUUGAUCCUGACCAUCAAAUGAUCUUUGUUAUGAAUAUGCUCAUCCUGGUGGCUGGCCAAUACCUGACUUGACUCCUUAUCCAAUGCUGUCUAGCUCCCUUUGUAUCACUGCUGCUUCCAUCCCAUAUCUUACUGUUCCCCUCUGUUAUGUUCAAUAAACAUAAUAUGCUUGGUGCCACUGCUGAUCUGCUGAGCCAGUCAGUGUCCAGCUCAGUGACUCAGACUUGAUCUCAGCUUCAAAAGAAAAAUGACGAUGUCUGUCUUUCUAGAUUUGAACCCCUCCAGUGAGUAGUAUCACAGAUGUGAUAUGGAUGCUCAGUAAUUACUGAAACAGCAGUUUGUCACAAGCUGCUGGGGGCACUGAUGGACUAGUGCUCUGUGGCUAUAGUUAUGGGAAGGAAGAUGUAAGAAAAUAUGGUAAUUGUGACAGGCUCAGCUUAGUGUUGUUUGGGUUUUCUUUUCAGGGAUAAAACGUUCAUGUGGAAGCCACGCAUACAGAGAGCUAGGUACCUAUUUUAAUCUGUCGUUCUUUCCACCUCUAUGAUAUUUAAUAUACAUGCAAAAAUUAUUCUAAUGUAAAUGAGAAUCUGGGCCAGGCAGUGGCCACAUCUACGCUAAGCGCAAUUUGUAUCUCUGAAGUUCACAUACAUCAGCAGUUUCCUAAACAAGUAGAUUUGGCUCUUGGGGAAGAACAGAACAGCCUGCAUAUCCCAGCCACCCUCCACACCGGUGCCACUAGGGGGUCCUUAUGAUGCUGAAUAAAUAACAAAUCCCUUCUCCACAGCCGUGAGCUUUGUAGCCGAUCCAGAGCUUACUGCAGCAUGCAGGCACUUCCCUGUGCCCUGUGAACAUGAAAAAAACCACAGAAAUCUAAAACUUCACUCUUUGUGUAAACCAGCUCUGCUUUUUAUUCUUUCUCUCCUCUUAUCUUGUAGUGCAAAUGCAGCUUCAGAAAUGAACAAGAACAUCAAAAUCCACAGAUUGUUAAGUAAAUUCAAGACUGAGAGAGGAUGAAAGGAAAAUAAAAAUGGACCUGGAGCCUGAUAGGCUUUGGAUGAAGCUUUACAAGAGUUGCAAAGGAUGCUGCUGCAAUGGGGACCCAUCUGGGGUCGACAGGCUCGACUUGCUGCACAGCCGAAAAAGCAGUAUUUAGAGGUGGCAAUGCUCUGCGUGGCUCAAGCAUUAUUAAUAGCACUUUGUUUCAUAGCUUCAUAGUAUUUAAACCAUACUGUUCCCAUUACUGAAGACAUUUUGUUUUCUGAGAUCUAUCUGUCUCCCCCAAAGUAAAACAUUAUAUUUCCAUCCAGCAUUUUUUUUCUAAGUUUCACUUGACUAGUAAUAGGUUUCCUUGAAAAGCCAUCAGUGAAUUUAUGGCACAAAGAGCUACGUCUCUCCAGCCUUUAUUAAUUCAGACAUACAAAAUCUAAGCAUCUACAUGUUGCGGUUGUUGUUUGUUGCGCUGCUGCAAACUGAUAGCAUUUCACCAAAAAAGCUCUCGUGUCUGCAGCUAUCCUAUUUUCUCUCGUGUCACUCAAGCGAACCGCCUUGCAGCUCACCCGCACCGAGGUCGGAGCAGAGCCGCAGGAGCCUGCAGAACCCACAGGGGGCUGUCGUGCCAGGCACCCGCUCAGCCCCCGGGACCUGUGGGUGAGGAUGCGAGCAGAGCUUCCCAGCACUGCUGGGAGCCAAACGGGCUUUUGCCUGAGUGAGUUCUGGGGGAUGGGGCAUUCGUUCAGAGGCACAAACUCCUUCAAUACUGGAUGUGCUCAGAAGAUGGAAAUUAGCAAUAUUACAAAUUCAGAAAGCAGCAGACGAGCUUGUAACGUAGCGAAUAGGAGCUCACCCCUCUUUUUGAGCAGCUGCUCCCAACGCAACAAGCCCUCUGACCAGUGCCACUGUAGCCUUUGACCUUAUUCAUUAGAGAUAUUCUGAUGUACUGUGAGCAGUAUGGAACAAUGUUCAUAUGUUCGUUUAUGGGUUAACCCUAUCCUUAUUAGAUUUGUACUUUCCAACCUGAAGUUAUAAAAGUUUGGCCGGCACGCAGGGUUUUGCCCUCCCUUUCUGCUCUCUCAGCCACUGAAGUAAUCUCAAGCUAUCCUUUUCAACUGAACUUUUUUAAGUGUUGCUUUUAUCUCUAGUUGCCAGUGUCUUUAAGAACUUAACCCCUAUAUCUCUUACAGCCAGCUCUAGCUUCUGGAAAGCAAGAAGACUUCUACUUCCUGCACCUGUUGCCAGAUUCACUGUGGUUUCCCAGCACUGAAGAACCAGUGUGUACUGAGCAAUACUGAUGCUAUACUGGGUUACCAAGGGGUAUGAAGAUGUGAUUAGUCAAUGUCACAAAGAUUUUGGAGAGCAAAACAGAGGAGGAGGAAAGAGUAAUACUUCCUUUAGCCUUCAUCUUCUGCCUUCCCGUGACAUCUGUCCUGCACGAUUUGCGGGCAGUCACAGUGUGCACUUCCUUCUCCUGCAGAGGCUCUGCUUCUUUUGGAAAAGGCUUCCACAAGGAUACCAGCAGCAUUAAAAUCUCACUUGGUCCACUUGUAUUUUUUUACCAGCCCUGUUUGAUUGCCCUAGAAAAACAGGGAAGAAUAUUUUCCUUGCUCUCAAGAGUAAAGUCCUCCAUUAUCAUGUCAUGAAGGGAAACGGACUGUUUGGUAGCUAAGGAAAAAUGCUGACUUCAAACCUGAGAUAAGGUUCUAUCAUUUACACUAAUGAGCUCACUGGUGGCAAAUCUGUAAGAUUUUAUGAUAAAAAGUAGCUGUAAGUCAGUAUUUGAUGGAAUUUUCUAUUUCUUCUUCUUCUUCUUUUUUUUUUUUUUUUUGCUGAAAAUACAUCUAACUACUAAUAAUUUUCCCAUCCAAAUCCGGGGAGGAAUAAAUGCAGUGAGAAUCAUCCCAGACUGAGUUCAAAGAUUUGGUAAGUAACCCAUUAUUUUAGAGAGUUAUUCUCUAACCUAUUAUUGAUUUAUUAACCUAUUUAUUGAUCUAAAUUCUGCUGGGAAGGCUGUGAACACAUUUGACUAGUUGACUAAUGAUUGAGUUACUCAGAAGGAGGGGAUCUUAAUGAAAUAUUAAUAUUAGGAUUUUAAUUGCUGAUGACUUAUGGUUAACAGUUGAGCCUCCAGAUCUGAUAGUCACAUCAUGCCAGAUUUUGAUUUCUGAUGGAAACAUACUCUGAGGCCGUAUAUCCAAUAAGUGCUAUGAAAAAGGUAUCUAAUACCCUUUGCUGGUAUAUUCUGCCUGAGCACUGACAAACACUAAUGAAAUCUAGUUACUGUAGGUUACAAAGACCGAGACUGUUCUGUUCAGAACCAGAAUGGGCAAAUCCAGCUGGGGAGACCAACCCUGCUAUGAAACUGGUGUAAGUGGAUGCAAGCAAUAGGGUGACAGUAAGCAGAGGAAAAAGAGAUGUCUUCAGUUGAAGGGCUGGAAAACUCUCACAGUUUGGCUUCCAUUGUGAGACAUGAAUGAAAUUCUGGCGAUUUUUCUCUCUCCCCUCUGAUUUUUUUCCAGCCUACCUCCCGAGUGUGAGAUGUUUAGACUUCAUAGCAUCCCUGGUUCAAUGCCUGGAAAAGCUGGCCAGAGCUGCAGUACAGUGCAGGGACUUCCUUGCAUGGCCACUUUCCCCUUGUGCAGGCAAGAAAUAAGUCCUUACAAAAUAUUCCAUGUGCUGGUUGUGCCUCUGCAACCUUGUUUAUGGAUAGCUCUGCUUUUGCAGUGAUCUCUUCUCCUGAGAGUCAUGGGUUUAACUCAUCACUUUGAUAGCAAUUUGGGAAUGGGUGUUGGGUUGUAUUAGAGGUACUAGUCUCAUAGUAGAAAUAGCAAAAAAAGUAAACAAUGAGCAUGAAGACUAGGAUAUGGGUUUACUGCUGUUGACGACAAAAGGACAGAUGAAUUGGAGAAUGUAGGGGAUAGCAGAAAAAGAUAACAGAAAAAUGUUUGGAAAUAAGAGGGAUGGAUGUUCUAUAGGCUUACUGACAUUUUUUUUUACUCUAUGAGUCCUGUAAGAUGCUGGCAAUAUAGGAAAGCAAGACAAGCUGACAAAAAGAUUGGUCUGAGAGACUGAGAAAUGGCUGUGAAGCUGGUUUGGUAUGCAGGUGAUCACAACUACUAUCAUCUUUCAAGAAAAACAUGUUUUUCACAAAAAGAUUGUCAAACCUGCAGCUCUUGUUGUGCAUCUCUGUCUUCAUACGGCUCUUAUCACUGCAAGAUUUGAAUUUCCUAGUGCAUAAAAGAUUGUAUCUAACGUCUUCUUCCAGUCUAGCUUCCCUCCAUGCUAUGCCCAUCACUUUGUACCGAGUACAGAUGAAAUGCUGAAGUGUUGCAACUUUUCUGUGAGAGGAGCAGCCGCUAGAGGGGAGGAUGUACACUGUGAAGUCCCCAUCAGUACCCUGUCACUGAGGCUUCCUCAGUAAGUAACAAAUAAGUAAAUAAAUCAGAAUUUUAGUAAUCAUUUGUAGGCUGUCCUGGUAUAUCCUUUCAGGUAAAAUAUAUUGAAUGAGGUUAUUUUUAGUAUUGCAGUUUCAACGUUUACCUUGAAACACAGCCAAAACUAACGGCCAGGAAAAAAAAUCAUUGGCUAAAUUACACAGAGAAGAUUGGAUUACCUGUUCAAACACAGCUCUUAAUUCUGGAUUUAAAUAGAAUCUCCAAAUACAACAGAACUGUUGCAGAAAAUAAAGCUAGCCAACAGCCCCUAAUAACCCCUAAUUAUUAGUAGUUUCAGUUAAAAUUUGGACAGUGUUGGUCUUAAUUCUUUUAAAUCAGAAGAGGCAGCGUGACCAUGGUAUCCCAUUUACAAUUACAGUGAGCACACACGCUGUUCCAACACAUGCUGGCUUUAGCUGAGUGUUCUCUGGCAAGUUGGGUUGGGGUUUUGCCCUGUUAAAAUACAAUUACCUAUUUGACUAGCAAAUAAUUUCAAUUUGAGUUACUUCUUUGUAACAAUGCACUUUUCUGACAGAAGUGUCUGACAAGAAAAACAGGUCAAGCUCCUGACAUUGGCAUUUUUGCUUGCUUAGGAAUUUUUUGCACCUGAAAGAAAACCUGCUGGUAUCCUAUCUGGGUGACUUUCAUGGCAUCAGUAAAUACCAAAGAGACCUGCCCCUAAAGAAGAUGCUCUCUCAAGGUAAGACUGAAAUCCAAAUUACUUUAAAAUAGGAAAGAAAGAAAAGCUUGGCAAUGCUAUGGAUACAUGGACAAUUACAGCUAUAUAAACCAGAUUGUUUAAUGAUUGUCUCAAGGAUAGUUUUUUCAAGUAUCUUUUACACUGAGCUAAUAUUUUUCUCACUUUUAACUUUAUCCAAUGUAAUGUGUAAAUGGGAGAUUAGAAGUCGAAGACUGUAUUGCAGGCACCCAAUGAAAAGCAGCAGAUGACACUGCCCACAUUGUCUUAAUAAAUUUGUUCUUCAGAAGGUGCAGAACCCAAUAGCCAUGCAGUCCAGUGAUCCUUCGAGGUCAACAGUUUUAUAUUCAUUUACUGCUGCAGUCCCCACUUUGGUAAAGAUCAUCUAUCAGUUUCCCUGUUAUCCUCCUGCUUACAGCUACCUGUUAAGAUCAAAAAUGCUCAUUUCUGAGAUUGAGAUUUGCCACAAUUGCAACUGGAAAACACGAUUUUUUAUUUAAACAUUUUAUCACAAUCUUUGUGGACGUUUUAAAAUACAUCAAAAUACUGGGAAAACACUAAGGUUAUUUUGUUUGAUAGUCUCUGGGCAGAAGUAAGACCUGAAAGCAGAAAGUCAGAACUAUUUUUCAAUAGGAAGCAGGGCAUGAUUAAACUCGGGAACCAACCUGGUUUAAUUGGACCAAAUACAAUUACAGAAUGUUUGGAUAUGAAUAUAUGCAACUGUCUGUCUGGCAGUUAUUCUUGGGUGCACACCUCGGAAAGCUUAUGCACUCUUCAGCUGUUCAUGUUACUGGCUGGGUUUUACCCUCUGUGCCUGCUUUCUCCUACAAGAAGUAACCACAGGAGAAUUCCCUUGGCCCAGUGCUGUUCCCCACUGGCAUCUGAAGCAGCCUGCCUGUGCCAUUCUGUCUUUGCUCUGCUGUGCAAAACCUGUGCUGGCAGGCGCACGGUGCAGCAAGUCUGCAGCCAUUCUUAUUCCAUAGGGAGUGGGCUGACAGAUCGCUGCUGCUGGUUGGGACCCCAACAGCUUAUUUGUUCCUGCUGUGCGCUCUCACUGGACUCGACCUACUCUCUGAGAUACCUUAAUUGCUUGCUGUGGAAGCUGAAGGUGACACUGUAAGCAAAUCACCAUAAACACAUGCAAAUCUCUCUUACAACUGCAAAUCAAACAGUUGAAGUAGUGCACAGUAUAGGUCAGCAAGAGCUCUUUUGCUGUAAAUCUCAUUUUCACACAUCUUCAGACUUUGUACAAGAUCCCAGCAGAUGCUAGGGAAGAGGGGUAUCUGAGGUUUAUAAGGGCAAAUAUGAAUCCCUGAAUUGCCUUUCUGUGGUUCAACUAAUAUGGCAGAGAACAAACUGCAUUUUCAGAACUGUGAACAAACCACAUUUCAUAUAAGUUAUCUGCUUACAGGCCAGACCUUGUAUUUAUAACUUAAGAAGGAUUAAAUCAAAAGGCAAGCAGUCCGUGAAAGGGUGGUUUUAUACACAGCCAGCUAAACUCUUGAUAAAUCGUUCUCUUGAAGGAAAAAAUAAAGGCUUCCAAUAGAUUCUUCUGUACUUGUUUUCAGAGAAGCUUAUGGUGUCUCUCCUUAGAGGCUUUCUUUAUGAGGAAAGCUAGUUAAAUGCCUAGUGAGACUGAGUUUCCAAGGGUGAUCUCCCUAGAACAGGAUUAGGGUUCACUGACAACGUAAUGCAGGGCAGGUAAUGCUGCUGUUGCUCAUGGCUUAAACUGCUUUAUGGCUAAAUCAUAUUUCAGUUUCUAGAGGUAUCAGUUCAGUACCUCUGAGCUUUCAACUUGCUUCUGUAAGGUAAAAAAACAAACAGGUUUUUUGGUCUUCCCGUAUUUUUUUCUGGACUAAAACAAGCAGCUCUCUCACUGCCUGAGCAGGACAGUAACCAGUCCUGAAAUGGAUCAUCAGAAAUUUAUGAGGAUCACUCAAUUAUUUUUUUUCCUCCAGAUUAUUUCCAAGUUGGUGCUUUUCUUCAAGCACAGGUGAAGCAUUAGGGGAGUUUUACAGACUGACAGUCCAUUCUGAAUCUGUAAACCAGAGCAGCCAAGCAGCCACAAAGGCAGCUCAGGGCUAGUUAGCACGAGGUGAAUGGUUCACACGUUUUCUCCACAUCCACAGAAAUGUUUUUGAAAACAAAGCCAAAAAAACCCACCAUAGUUUCAGUCUAAUACCAAUAACAAAUACUAUAGUUUGUUAAUACAUUGAUACUCUUGCCAUUGUAUCUGAACAAUUGCCCUAUUCUAUGUCAGCGACAUUGAUUAACAAAACAGUUUGUAAUUAGAUGGAGUCGUGCAAUUCAUGGCCCUCUGUAAACAUCUGGAUUUGCAAAUCUGCACUCCUAGCUUGGGAGCUCUGUCACACAUCACUAAUUAAGCCACAUUCUUAUAUACCAGUACAUACAUCCUCCUGCUGAGCAUCCUUUCUUUGUUCCCAGUACAAAUAACAGCCUGUUGUCAAUACAGAGAAAACCAUCAUAACUGCCUAGCUCAGCGUGUGACAUUUAAUGAAAAUGAAAUAACAUCUCAUUUGCAUGACUGGCAUUACUUUAUUAAAGCCAGAGCUGCAGAAGCUGGGUGCUACAGUGCAAGUCAAGUGUGCAAGGCUGACAGUCCGUAAGUGCAUAGGAACGAUGGUGUCCAGCACAGGGAGGUUGGCACUCCCCCCUGCCUGUCUGCCCACCUCCUGUUUGUAGGGUAGGGCUUCUAGGAAAUCGACAGAUCUAUUCCUUUUCCCAGCCCCCCCCCCCUCCCAGUCCUUGUUCUCCCUGUUACCUCCAUCCCACGGAGCUGGGAACCAGAGCCCCCCUUGCUUCUCCCAGAGGAGUUCCCCAGAAUCAUCAUGGGCUGGGAUCAUCAGCUCCAGCUGAGGAGGAACCCAUCAGAAGUGCUACAGGAAGCAGCGCAGUAGCACAGGAGCUGUGUCUGUUGUGCAGGGGAAGUGCCUUAAAAGAGGAAUAUUUUUUCAGUGUCAGAAGAACGCAGCUGAGCACUCAGAACUUUGAACAGACAAAGUUGUGCUCCUUCAGUCUGCAUUUCCCUCUGCCAUUUCACCAGCAUUGAUAAGGAAGCAAAAUCCUUAUUGUGGCCGAUUCUGAUCUGCUUUAACCCCUUAGACAUAUUUAGAAAUAACGAGUUUAUGUGAAGAAACUUUCUGAUUCUGACCUUGGCGCCCAGUUCGGCAGCGAUACAGCAGAGAGCAGAAGCUGCCAGCGGGACGGCUCCUGGCAGCAUGUGGGCGGCUCCUCCCCCUCCUUUUCUUUUCACACUUCUCAGUAGAGUUUUUCUUUCUGCUAUCUCCGAUGCCGCUCCGCCCGUCUUCCUUCCCCCGUCUCCUUGCCGCAGUCGCGCUGCCCCCGGCCGCCUCGGUGCUGCUGCCCGUCCCGCAGCGAUACCCGACUCCCGCACGGUCCGAGGCCAUCGGCUACGCGCAACCCGACCCCCGUGCCGCCCCAGCUUUGAACGAUAUUUAACUUCCAGAGAGGAUGCUACCAACUCCAGUUGAUUUUAAUUUCUGCAUACAAGUUUACUUAUGCACGCAUCUGUCACUUAGAAAACUUUUGUCGCAGCGCUCAUAGUUCACAGUGAAUCCCUUCUGCUCCGGUCCGGAUUUGGCGGCACCUCCGGCACGGACGCGGCGCGGGGUCCGUCGGGCCGGGAGCGCCUCUCCGCAACCAGAAGGGCGGCGGGGCCGGACCGGCGCCAGGAGCUCCCUGGCAGCGGGGCGCCGUGCUGCUCCAAGAGGGCUCUGUGAGCGAGGAAAGUUUCUUGCUUACGGCCGGGACCGCGCCUCUCGCUCGAGCCCCUCCGCUCCUGCGGAACGAGACGGCGCGGUCAGGACGUCGGCCCGUAACGCGGGCGGGGCCGGCUGCAGGGAUCGCCGCGCGCCCCGACGGUGCUGCUCGGAGGC
ensembl:lncRNA